rnacentral:rRNA from 1 species
GCGAUUCCCUUAGUAGUGGCGAACGAAAAGGGAGGAGCCCAGCGCAUAAUCUCCCAGGCCGCCCGGCCUGCGGCGAAAUGUUGCGUUAAGGGAAAGGUCGCUCGAAAGCCACGCACGCUCGUGCUUAUGCCUAAGAGCGAAUUGAAUUGUUCGCGCUUGUUCGGCAUUCGCUCACGCGAGUUGUCGACGUACGGUUCCAGGGUGGGUGCAAGCCCCGUAUGGCGUACGUUGCGUUGCGUUGGUUCGGCCUCUAUUCCCUAAGAGUCGCGUUGCUUGAACAUGCAGCGCUAAGCAGGUGGUAAACUCCACCUAAGGCUAAAUACAUCCACAGAACCGAUAGCUGACAAGUACCGCGAGGGAAAGUUGAAAAGUACUCUGAAGAGAGGGUGAAAAGACCGUGAAACCGCUCAGGGUAAAAGUCAAAUGUCGAGUGAUCCUAGAUGCUGGGGCAUCGUCUUUCUCUCUCACGAGGGCGAGGCGAUAGUGCGUGUCUGUGUGCGCGUUAGAAGUUACCAGGCUUAUGUAAGCGCGCCGUUUAAUACUGGAGUUUCUCGCUCUAGUGUAUUCGGUCAUUUAAGCCGAGUCUCUCUAGCGCAUCGAGCAUAUCGAGUACACCACCGUCAGGCCCGCUAACAGCCCACCGCAACUGCUGUUGAGUUGUCACUCGCGGUAGACGGACGUAAGUUCGUGACCCUCUUGUUCUCUCGGUCGUCAGGUUUGCGCUUGCGAGAUGCUUUCCCGGAGUAGGCUGAAGCGAGAGCUUCGGUGCGAAAAGGGACUCUCGUAUGCGGGCGUACUACUAAUGACACAAUACCAUAAGGCCGGGAAUGACGAGUUUGUCAUAAAGCGUACUAUGCGUCGUACUACCAAUGCGAUUGUGUAUGAUCCUCUGGCAGCGUUGUUCGCUGACACACUUUUUUGUUAGUGUACGGUGGUAUAUGCUAGGUGACAUUGAUCACGUCUCGAAACACGGGCCAAGGAGCGUAGCGUGCGCGCAAGUCAAAGGGUCUCACUAAACCCUACGGCGACAGUGAAAGCGAGUGGUUCAUCGGCAUACGUGUCGGUGUAUCCCGGGUUGCGACGAUAGUUCUUUUACCGAAGUCUAUUCGAAGCAUCUCCGUUUUGUCAGGGCCGAUCCCGAUCGAUAAGAUUGGGCGCAAGCCCCGGGCUCACUCGUAAGACGCGGUUUCCCCUCGGGGUUGUUGUGUCGGAGAGAGCACCGAGUAGCGCGCACGGUACAACCCGAAAGAUAGUGAACUAUGCCUGGCGAGGAUUAAGCCCCAGGAAACUGUGGUGGAAGUCCGUAGCCGUUGUGACGUGCAAAUCCAUGGUAUCAGCUGGGCAUAGGGGCGAAAGACCAAUCGAACUAUCUAGUAGCUGGUUCCGUCCGAAGUUUCUCUCAGGAUAGCUGGCGCGAUUACGGCACGUUUGUCUGAUUCUCUAAGCUGGCGACAACAGUCGCACUCGAGAUCGUUCCUGCGUUUGUCGAGAGCUGAGGGCAAUAGCCGCUGCACGCCUCUGACGCUCGGUGUCUCUGUCACCUUACUAACUUUUCAGUUACGUCUGGUAAAGAGAAUGAGUAGAGGUUGCGUGCCGCGCGCCCAAAUGCGCGGCAGCGGCGGGGCGUUCUACGCCUCGCACUAUUAUCAAACUUUAAAUGGGCGAGGAACUCGGCAUUUCUUAACUGAGUUAAACGUGAUGCCGGGGAAACGAGUGCGCGUCGCCGUAACAAAGCGACUAGACUAGAAUGUGUCCGCGUUUAGUGGGUCCGUUCUGGUAAGCAGAACUGAUAAUGAGGGAUGAACCUAACGUUGUGUUAAGGGGCCAAAAUGACAGCUAUUUCUCGAAACCAUUGGAAAGGCGUUGCUUGCUGAAGACAGCAGGACGGUGGUCAUGGAAGUUGACAUCCGCUAAGGAGUGUGUAACAACUCAUCCUGCCGAAGCGAGUAACCCUGAAAAUGGAUGGCUCUAAAGCUCUCUCCCGAUGCACGACCGUCAGCGGCAACACGGCUAUUCAUAGUCUCGAUGCCCUGACGAGUAGGACGGAGUAUCGGUGCGCGUCGAAGGCCUUAGGGUAACCUGGGCUGGAGCCGCCGAUAAUUCAGAUCUUGGUGGUAGUAGCAAGUACUCUGGUUGAUAACCUUGAGCUAUGAGGUUGAUAAGGGUUCCAUGUCAACAGCGUUUGUACAUGGGUAAGCCGAUCCUAAGCCAACCUAUACCUCGGUGUAGAGCGCGAGCGCAACUUGCAUGUAAAUACCUGGUAACAACACGACACGCGCGCGCACUGGCGAGAGCUCCGAGAGAGACUUUGAUCCCUAUCGACUCUCGCGCCACGCUGCGCGUAUGUGUUUUAUUAAUGACUUUAACGCUAUAUAAGGCUCGUGAGUUUACCGAAAGAGAGAUUCGAUAUUCUGUAUCGCGCAUAAAACACCUGUAUGUGUGUGUGAGGUAUGUGUUUUAUACUGAUGAGAGAGAGAAAUAGUCGGUGCGAUGAAAAAWGAUAGCGCGCAARCGCGAGCCCGCGCGCGAGCCRGUGGUGGUGUGUUUGUUUAACAAMCAACAACCCCCCGCGAGCGCGCRCGGAGAGCGASCGCGCGCUUUCUUUAUUAACCCCCCCCUGUGUAGUCCCGCGCAACAUAUAAUAAACACACACAYACACCAAUAAGGGUGCGAAUAAUGCRCAKAUAUAAGUGAAGUGUCUCUCUCCUCUAUAUUAAUACUCGCGCGGCUAAGUUAUCGUCUGAAGGGCUUUUGCGAGUUGUUUUAGCCUGGCGAAAGGGAACUAUGGACUUAGUUCAUGGGCCUCUCUUGGUUCCCUGAUGCGUCGCCGUAUCACGAACUUAGCAACAGCUAUCUAGCUGAGCCAUUGCAGUCUCGAGUCGCGUGAUGGGGAGAUGUCUCCUCUCAUUAAUCGAACCCCUAGAACCUGUUAAACGCCUUGAGAGGAGUUAGGCUCUAUGUUCGUGAGAAGAGUAAUUUCUCUCCCCAAUCAUAUCAAUGUUUCUCGAGAUCCGUGAAAAAGUGGCCGAGGGAAUUUCUCUGUUGAACCAUCUCUACCGAUGUUCUUAGAGAUUGCCAAGAGUGUACGUACCCGAGUCCGCAUCCGGUCUCAAA